CGGAGGAAGGUGGGGAGUGACGUCAAAUCAUCAUGCCCCUUAUGACCUGGGCUACACACGUGCUACAAUGGGCGGUACAAAGGGUCGCGAACCGCGAGGGGAGCCAAUCCCAAAAAGCCGCUCUCAGUUCGGAUUGCAGGCUGCAACUCGCCUGCAUGAAGCCGGAAUCGCUAGUAAUCGCGGAUCAGCAUGCCGCGGUGAAUACGUUCCCGGGCCUU
rnacentral:rRNA from 1 species